rnacentral:rRNA from 1 species
AAUGAACGCUGGCGGCAGGCCUAACACAUGCAAGUCGAACGGUAACAGGAAGAAGCUUGCUUCUUUGCUGACGAGUGGCGGACGGGUGAGUAAUGUCUGGGAAACUGCCUGAUGGAGGGGGAUAACUACUGGAAACGGUAGCUAAUACCGCAUAACGUCGCAAGACCAAAGAGGGGGACCUUCGGGCCUCUUGCCAUCGAAUGUGCCCAGAUGGGAUUAGCUAGUAGGUGGGGUAACGGCUCACCUAGGCGACGAUCCCUAGCUGGCCUGAGAGGGUGACCAGCCACACUGGAACUGAGACACGGUCCAGACUCCUACGGGAGGCAGCAGUAGGGAAUCUUGCGCAAUGGGCGAAAGCCUGAUGGAGCAACGCCGCGUGAAUGAAGAAGGUCUUCGGAUUGUAAAAUUCUGUUAGUAGGGAAGAACAAAGUAAAGAGUAACUCUUCACUCAUUGACGUUACCUACACAGAAAGCCCCGGCUAACUACGUG